UCCAGAUGUCUAGAAAAUUCUGUAUAAAGUUCAGCUCAAAAUUCGCAGUGACCAAUUCCCAAUAAUGUUUACAAGUUUGUAUGUUCAAGUUGCCAGCACCAGCGAUUUCAGACUUCGAAUUUUUUUAUGCCUGGUAUAUUGAUUGCCUUAGUCUUACUUUCAACCUUCCUAUAUAUGUUGAACUCACUAGGCUUGUUUACCAAAGUAUUAGGUGUUCAAUAUUCACUUAGGAUCAAAAUUUCAGCCAGUAAUUCAAUCACCAAAACUCAAAUUCACAAUAGACACAAUCAUAAGGAAACCUAAAAGUUCAAGAAAAGGUUCACAAUCAAAGACUCUCUAAGAAUUUUUCAUGAACAUGUUAAGGACUAAUUAACAUGCAAGAUUUGACUCAACUCAAAUAAUAGGCUAAAAAAAUUUCAUACACUCAUGAACAAACGAGUUAGACAAAGAAACAAGAAAAUAAAAUUCAGCAUAACAUAAUGAAUCUUAUGUGACAAGUUUCAUGACUGGACAUGACUUCUAUGACAAAACUACAAUGAGUGAACAUGUCACUCUAGAUUUUUGAGGUUUUCUUCUAAUAUAUUGUUUUUGUAAGAAUUUUAGGGUUUAGGUUUCAGCCACAAAAAUAGCAAGACAAAACUCAACACAAUUCAUGGUUUAAGAACAAGAACAAGAAAUUUGCACCGUAGAAAAUCAAAUCUAGCUUCUAUAGCAAGUUUAAUCAGUGAAAAUUCUUAAAAAAUCAUGUUAAAAACAUUUAGCACAAGACAUGUGAGGAGAUACAUGGAGAAAAAUAAAGAAACAACAAUGGAGGAGAAGGUAAAGCUGAAAAUUAAUGGAGGUUUAAGGAGCACCUACUUGAAGCUCUUGUGCUCUAAUACCACUUGAUAGAAGCUUGCUUGAGAAACAUCUAUGGAGGCUGGAUCUUUGAGCUUCAAUGAGGUCCUUCAAUGGUGAUUUUCAACCAUGGAGAUGCAGCGGAAGAUAAAGGAGAAGAGGUGAGAGAAGGCGCCAUCCACUAGGGAAUAAGCCAUGAAAGGAAGAGUUUCACCAUCAAGAGAGUGUCUUGGGUAAAAAACUUAG
rnacentral:lncRNA from 1 species